rnacentral:rRNA from 1 species
GACGAACGCUGGCGGCGUGCUUAACACAUGCCAGUCGAACGGAAAGGCCCUGCUUUUGUGGGGUGCUCGAGUGGCGAACGGGUGAGUAACACGUGAGUAACCUGCCCUUGACUUUGGGAUAACUUCAGGAAACUGGGGCUAAUACCGGAUAGGAGCUCCUGCUCCAUGGUGGUGGUUGGAAAGUUUCGGCGGUUGGGGCUGGACUCGCGGCUUAUCCGCUUGUUGGUGGGGUAGUGGCUUACCAAGGCUUUGACGGAUAGCCGGCCUGAGAGGGUGACCGGGCACAUUGGGACUGAGAUACGGCCCAGACGCCUACGGGAGGCAGCAGUGGGGAAUAUUGCACAAUGGGCGGAAGCCUGAUGCAGCAACGCCGCGUGCGGGAUGACGGCCUUCGGGGUGUAAACCGCUUUCGCCUGUGACGAAGCGGGAGUGACGGUAAUGGGUAAAGAAGCACCGGCUAACUACGUG